rnacentral:rRNA from 1 species
CCUACGGGAGGCAGCAGUAGGGAAUUUUCCACAAUGGGCGAAAGCCUGAUGGAGCAACGCCGCGUGGGUGAAGAAGGUCUUCGGAUCGUAAAACCCUGUUGUUAGAGAAGAAAGUGCGUGAGAGUAACUGUUCACGCUUCGACGGUAUCUAACCAGAAAGCCACGGCUAACUACGUUCCAGCAGCCGCGGUAAUACGUAGGUAGCAAGCGUUAUCCGGAUUUAUUGGGCGUAAAGGGAGCGCAGGCGGUCUUUUAAGUCUGAUGUGAAAGCCUUCGGCUUAACCGGAGUAGUGCAUUGGAAACUGGGAGACUUGAGUGCAGAAGAGGAGAGUGGAACUCCAGGUGUAGCGGUGAAAUGCGUAGAUAUCUGGAAGAACACCAGUGGCGAAGGCGGCUCUCUGGUCUGUAACUGACGCUGAGGUUCGAAGGCGUGGGUAGCAAACAGGAUUAGAUACCCUUGUAGUC